rnacentral:misc_RNA from 1 species
UCUCCGUUGGUGAACCAGCGGAGGGAUCAUUACAGGACUCGCAAGACUCCUUCACCCUGUGAACCUCACUACAAGCACGUUGCUGCGGCGGGUGUCCCGGCGGGGGUUUUCCCUCGCCGGGGCGCACAGCCCGCCGGCAGCCUACUAUACUCUGUCUCUUUGCGUUGGCAUCUCGAGAAAAAACAAACAAGUUAAAACUUUCAACAACGGAUCUCUUGGUUCUG